rnacentral:rRNA from 1 species
GUGGGGAAUCUUGCGCAAUGGGCGAAAGCCUGACGCAGCCAUGCCGCGUGGAUGAUGAAGGUCUUAGGAUUGUAAAAUCCUUUCACCGGUGAAGAUAAUGACUGUAGCCGGAGAAGAAGCCCCGGCUAACUUCGUGCCAGCAGCCGCGGUAAUACGAAGGGGGCUAGCGUUGCCCGGAAUUACUGGGCGUAAAGGGAGCGUAGGCGGACAUUUAAGUCAGGGGUGAAAUCCCGAGGCUCAACCUCGGAACUGCCUUUGAUACUGGGUGUCUUGGGUGUGAGAGAGGUGAGUGGAACUCCGAGUGUAGAGGUGAAAUGCGUAGAUAUUCGGAAGAACACCAGUGGCGAAGGCGACUCACUGGCUCAUUACUGACGCUGAGGCUCGAAAGCGUGGGGAGCAAACAGGAUUAGAAACCCCAGUAGUCC